rnacentral:rRNA from 1 species
GGCGGCAUGCCUAACACAUGCAAGUCGAACGGCAGCACAGUAUGUAGCAAUACAUAUGGGUGGCGAGUGGCGGACGGGUGCGUAAUGUGUAGGGAUCUGCCCUGAAGUGGGGGACAACCCGGGGAAACUCGGGCUAAUACCGCAUAAUACUCUACGGAGGAAAUCUGGCUACGCAAGUAGCUGGGGCUUUAGGAUGAACCUACAUCCGAUUAGCUAGUUGGUGAGGUAAUGGCUCACCAAGGCGAUGAUCGGUAGCUGGUCUGAGAGGAUGACCAGCCACACUGGGACUGAGGCACGGCCCAGACUCCUACGGGAGGCAGCAGUGGGGAAUAUUGGACAAUGGGGGAAACCCUGAUCCAGCAAUGCCGCGUGGGUGAAGAAGGCCUUCGGGUUGUAAAGCCCUUUAGGCGGGGAAGAAGGUUUUAGGGUGAUAAGCCUUANAGCUUGACGGUACCCGCAGAAUAAGCACCGGCUAACUCUGUGCCAGCA